rnacentral:rRNA from 1 species
UUUGACAUGUACGUAGUAGUGAAGCGAAAGCCGAACGACCCUUCGGGGAGCGUACACAGGUGCUGCAUGGCUGUCGUCAGCUCGUGUCGUGAGAUGUUGGGUUAAGUCCCGCAACGAGCGCAACCCUCGCUGUUAGUUACAUGUGUCUAACGGGACUGCCGGUAUCAAACCGGAGGAAGGUGGGGAUGACGUCAAGUCAGCAUGGCCUUUAUGUCCAGGGCUACACACACGCUACAAUGGUCGGUACAAUGGGCUGCUACACCGCGAGGUGAUGCUAAUCCUCAAAGCCGGCCUCAGUUCAGAUUGCAGUCUGCAACUCGACUGCAUGAAGGCGGAGUUGCUAGUAACCGCGCGUCAGCCAUAGUGCGGUGAAUGCGUUCCCGGGCCUU